rnacentral:lncRNA from 1 species
UCACUACUAGUAUACAAGCAUCGAUCAUCAGGUUUUGGAGCAAUACACUGGUCAAUAAUCCCUUGUCUUCUCCAAGGGCAGAUGGAGAUUGAAAGUUGAACUUGGUUAUCAAGGAGCUUGUUAAGGAAAAAGAUGAAGAAAAAGAAAGCUUAAAUGGAAUUGUGAGGUCGUUGGCUAAAAAGAAAAGGAUAAGGUGGAUAAAGAUGUUAUGCUCAAUAGUCAAUAGGAUGUCAUAAAUUGAAGCUAUGAUAACAGCUAUGCUUCGAAGAUCGGCUGUAAACUAAGUUUUGAAUGUUUCAAUAUUAGGAUAAUUUUGGUAUAUAAUGAUUUAGUUUGUAUUUUUAUUAGAAUGUUUAUAUUUUGAAACAGGAAAAACUGAAAUACAUAUGUUUUAUAUAAUAUUGGGAUUU